CAUGCCACAGAAUGAAGGUAAGCAUUGUGAAUGGCACAGCCUAAAAGCCCCUCAAAUUAAAAACAUAAAGGAUGCAAACCUCUUACAGAUUAACGUGCCAGGAAAAUAACACUGGGAAACUAAUGUCUGUCUCUGAACAAAGAGAGCUCUUUGAAAGAAAAAAUAAAGAGAUAUAGCAAACCAAUAAAUACAAUGAAGACAUCAAAAGAACUCACCAAAAGUGAUUAUAUCAACUCAAAAAUAUUAAGUAUUCUAAGGUGCAAAACAGAUCAAAGGCUUCUUAAAGAUAUCAAAGGGGAAGCCUAUGAGGAUACUAAGAAGCAAAAAUAAAUUAAUGAAAACUUGUAUAUGUGUACCACCGUUUACAGUGGAAAAUGGAAUACAGUAAUCUAGGAUCAGCCAAACCAUUUGGUACCAAAAUCCCUUCGUCUUUUAUGGGCUGAAAUUAAAAUGCAAUAUAUAUAAACCCUGAAAAUUCGAUUGAGCUUGCGGUCACGGUUACGUAAAAGCCUAACCUGCAAAUUAAUUAAACUUCUUUGAAUGUCAGAAUAAAAGUAAUAGAGAACAGGAAAUCAAUGAUAGGGUAUUUAAACAUCAGGGAAAUCUCUGACUUGGAUUCAGAAGAAUUUGAUGAAGAACUUCACUGGAGUAGUUACACUGAUGCCAGUUAGUAGGCAAAAAGAUAGAUAUUCUAGUUUUUAAAUUAGAGUCUGUGUAGAGUAAUCUAGAAUGUAUUUCCACAUCUUUUUGGUAUUCACAAACUGAGAAUACAACACUUGAGGAUCUCAUAGGCACAAACUAUUCCUUUGAACUUGGGUCAUGACAAAAUCCCACUUAAUGUUUCUCACUGAGACAGUACAUAUGGUUUCUGGGUUUUUCUUUCCUUCAGGGCAUUUUGUCUCUUUUGCUUUUCUGAGUAUGUGGAUACCCAGUACGUGAUAAAAGUGAGGCCUCUGCAAGGUUAAUUCACCAAUCAAUGUUACUCAUCGAAUCAAUUGCCUGGGGGGGACAAGGAGGAAGAAGUUCACUUUGCACUGUUUCAAAGUUCUGUAGGUGUUUCCUGAGGUACUUCAGAGCCUGAUGUGAGCAGCAUGGAAGACAUAUUAAAGGAUGCUGGAUCAAACUGUACUGUUUCAAAAUACAGCUCUAUCUUUGGAAUAGGAAUGUGGAAUAAAAGCGUAUCCUCUGCAAGCUUUUCUUAGGUGGCUUCAACAAUUCCAGAGGAAAGACAAUCUUCUAUUGAGUAGCAGCUCAAACAUUUGAAAAUACCAAACCCAAGGAGAUGUAUCCAAAAGGAAAACAGGAAUCCAAUUUUCCUAAGAUCUCCAUCAGAAAGCAGCAUAGCUAUGUGGCUCUCCAUCUUCACAGGACAUGGAUAACAAGUUUCCAUGGAAGUAAGUUGGAAGCAUUGCUUUCAGAGCAAGCUACAUGGAAUGGUACUAUAACUGAAUAACAAAAAUAAAUCACUCAAUUAUGAUCCAGCUAUCCAGUUAGGCCGCAGAGAAAUCUCCAAUGCAAUAAGAAAUGUGGGGAUGAUGGAGAG